rnacentral:rRNA from 1 species
GACGAAUGCUGGCGGCAUGCUUUACACAUGCAAGUCGAACGGCAGCACGGGUGCUUGCACCUGGUGGCGAGUGGCGAACGGGUGAGUAAUGUAUCGGAACGUACCCGGCAAUGGGGGAUAACGUAGCGAAAGUUACGCUAAUACCGCAUACGCCCUGAGGGGGAAAGUGGGGGAUCGCAAGACCUCACGUUGUCGGAGCGGCCGAUAUCAGAUUAGCUAGUUGGUGGGGUAAAGGCCUACCAAGGCGACGAUCUGUAGCUGGUCUGAGAGGACGACCAGCCACACUGGGACUGAGACACGGCCCAGACUCCUACGGGAGGCAGCAGUGGGGAAUUUUGGACAAUGGGGGCAACCCUGAUCCAGCCAUGCCGCGUGAGUGAAGAAGGCCUUCGGGUUGUAAAGCUCUUUCGGACAGAAAGAAAUCGCCACUUCUAAUAAAGGUGGUGGAUGACGGUACUGUAAGAAGAAGCACCGGCUAACUACGUGCCAGCAGCCGCAGUAA